rnacentral:miRNA from 1 species
AUGGGGUUGGCCAAAAAGUUCGUUUGGGUUUUUCCAUAACAUCUUAUGAAAAACCCAAAUGAACUUUUUGGCUAAUCCAA